UCUCCGUUGGUGAACCAGCGGAGGGAUCAUUAAAGAGUUGCAAAACUCCCACACCAUUGUGAACGUACCUACCCAACCGUUGCCUCGGCGGCGCGGCCCCCCGGGGACGUACCGCCGGCGGCACGCAAAACUAUGUUAUCUUAUGGCCUCUCUGAGUAACUUAUACAAUAAGUCAAAACUUUCAACAACGGAUCUCUUGGUUCUG
rnacentral:misc_RNA from 1 species